rnacentral:rRNA from 1 species
UAUUAUUUAAAAUGUAAAUAAAUUUAUUAAAGUAGUAGUAGUUAUGUUCUUGAAACUUAAAAAAUUUGGCGGUAUUUUAAUCUCUCCAGAGGAACCUGUUUUGUAAUCGAUAAUCCACGAUGGACCUUACUUAAGUUUGUAUUCAGUUUAUAUACCGUCGUUAUCAGAAUAUUUUAUAAGAAUAAUAAUAUUCAAUAAUUUUUAAAAAAAUUUAUAUCAGAUCAAGGUGUAGCUUAUAUUUAAGUAAUAAUGGGUUACAAUAAAAAUAUUUAAACGGAUAAAAUUAUGAAAAAAUUUUUGAAGGUGGAUUUGGUAGUAAAAUUAUAAAGAUAAAUAAUUUGAUUAUAGCUCUAAAAUAUGUACACAUCGCCCGUCGCUCUUAUUAUUAAGGUAAGAUAAGUCGUAACAUAGUAGAUGUACUGGAAAGUGUAUCUAGAAUGA